rnacentral:ncRNA from 1 species
GUGUUAGUAGAAAGGAGAGAUGGUUGGCAUCUCCCCCAACAGGGAUGGGAAUAGCCUUCGGGCUUUACCUGUUACCACACAUCCGGUUAAGGUUUCCCACUUCGAUGGAUCUUGCCCCAAAUUUUC